AACGUUAAGGCGUGCCAGCCGAUUUGACCUUACUAUCGGCAAAGGUGAUAACUCGAAUACUUUAGUCCUGACAACAGCGAUGCGCCCGGAUGUCACGGCUAAGAGGUACUCACGCGGAACUUGAGAACACGCCGAGCUUAAGUCGACGAAUUCCUAAGAACUCGUAAUAAAAAGAAAAAAAUAUGACGAAGUCGUCGAAAAGUAGAUGCUGGAAUAUGAGUAAAAACGUGUAUUUGAUUGAUUUCUUGAUUGAUUAUUACAAGGCCCUAGGGUUUAUAUUUAUACCCUGCUCAAAGAGCUACAACCAGACACGAUUAGAAUUCGAAUUCCAAAUUACACGGAAUCCGUAUACAAAACGAUGCAAAUAAUUAAGGAAAUAACAAAACUAUCCUUCGUGACAAACCGAAACUCCUCCACAUGACAACUGGCAGCUUCCGGACUCCUCCUUUGCAUCAUCGGCAAUCCCUUUGCCAUAGUCAUCGGCAGACCCUUUUAUCCAGCCAUCGGCACCAUAUUACUGCCUGUGGACUUAGUCACAUUCAACCUCUCCCUCAUCGGCAACCAUCCUCAUCGGCAACCCGCAUCGUACUGCCACCCUAUCCUGUCAUCCUAGACACGUGCCCAAAAACGGUGUCAACAGGGUUCGGUUCAACGGUCGCUCCUUCGGUCACGGGCACUAUACGCAAAAUGAUGAAUGCUCAUGAUAUGCAUAUGACAAAUAUGCAAAAAGGACCAAGUUAAGUACUUCUGGCUCUCUUGGUGCAACAUAGACUAAACAAUAAUUAAAGUUGUUUAGCAACUUAGAGUCUUUACCCAAGAGGUCGCAUCUGUAAAUUAAGACUUCUCUCAAUUCAUGAUUAACUUAAAUUAACUAAUUAUUAACCCUUUUAUCUUAAUUAAUUCUUAAUUAAAUACUAAUAACAGUAAUUAAGUAUUAAUGCCAAACAAUAAUUAAAUGCCAAAGGUCAUUGAGGUUAAUGACCUUAGGUCAUCACACAAUCCCAAAAUCACUCAAACCCUAAGUAUGAGGAUUUAACUAAUUAUUAUCUAAUUAUUUUAGCAUUAUUAUUUAAUUAUUAAAUAAGGGUCUAAUAAUACUUUAUUCAAACAUUAUCCAAAUGCCACAAAAUUUUGUGUGAAGCUAGGGAAUAACAUUCAGAGACCUCCCACAAAUUUUGGUGAUUUUUGGAUGUGCCUAAAAAUUACAAAAAUUCAUGGAAAGUUUAUUUACUAAAUAAAAGGCAGAAUUUAUAUAUAUAUUCAUAGACAGAAAAUGAACUUUAGUAUUUUUCCUCUAUUCUUCUCAUUCUAUGGAACCUAUACAAAAAUUUUCAUAAUUUUUUGGAUCAGCACAUAAUUUAUUACACAAAAUCAAACAUAAAGCAAAAACUGCACAAAAAAAAAAAGAAAAAAAACACUGUGCAGCGACUGGCCGGGAAAUCGGCCCGCAGGCCGGCCCACUCCCGCUCGGCCCACGCGCGCGCCGCGCGCGUUGCCCCUCCCCCCCCUCUUCUCUCUGCGGGUCACUGACGGGCGGGUCCCGCUCGUCAGACCCCCCUUCCCUUCUCUCUCUGCGGGACGCUGACGGGGAUGCCCCACCCGUCAGCUCCUUCUAUGUCGCGCACGGCGGCUCGGUCACGACUCCGGCCGCCGUUGGCGAGGGUCUUGGCCCACGCGCGCGUGCGCACCCGCACCGCCUCACCUUCGCGAACCUGUUGCUACCACUCACUCGUGCUCUACCUCCCUCUCUCUACCUCAUCCGCACAAAUGGUGGACGGCCGCGUCGGUCGCCCGAAGACCGGCCACUAGGGCUCGGUAGAGUACAAAUUGACGCGCUAGGGAGCUUCCAUGGAGGGUAAGGAACAUGGUGCUCACAUCACCACGGCGAGAG
rnacentral:lncRNA from 1 species